rnacentral:rRNA from 1 species
AUUGAACGCUGGCGGCAGGCCUAACACAUGCAAGUCGAACGAGUGGCAGACGGGUGAGUAAUGGCUGGGAGACUGCCUGAUGGCGGGGGAUAGCUGCUGGAAACGGUAGCUAAUACCGCAUACCAUCAGAUGUGCCCAGAUGGGAUUAGCUUGUUGGUGGGGUAACGGCUAACCAAGGCGGCGAUCCCUAGCUGGUCUGAGAGGAUGACCAGCCAAACUGGAACGGAGACCCGGUCCAGACCCCUACGGGAGGCAGCAGUGGGGAAGAUUGCACAAUGGGCGCAAGCCUGACGCAGCCAGGCCGCGUGUAUGAAGAAGGCCUUCGGGUGGUAAAGUACUUUCAGCGGGGAGGCGUUACCCGCAGAAGAAGCACCGGCUAACUCCGUGCCAGCAGCCGCGGUAAUUC